UACGUAGGGGGCAAGCGUUGUCCGGAUUUAUUGGGCGUAAAGAGCGUGUAGGCGGCCAGGUAGGUCAGCUGUGAAAACUCGAGGCUCAACCUCGAGAUGUCGGCUGAAACCAUCUGGCUAGAGUCCGGAAGAGGAGAAUGGGAAUUCCUGGUGUGAGCGGUGAAAUGCGCAGAUAUACGGGAGGAACACCAAUGGGCGAAGGCAGCUCGCUGGGACGUUACUGACGCUGAGACGCGAAAGCGGUGGGGAGCAAACAGG
rnacentral:rRNA from 1 species